UAAAAUAUAGCUCCUUCUUUUCCUUUCUCCUCUUCUUUAUUCUCCUCCUCCUCCUCUUCUUCUUCUUCUUCUUCUUCUUCUCCUCCUCCUCUCCUCUACUACUCUUCUUCUACUCUUCUCUUUUUCAUCUUCUUCUUCCUUUUAUUCCUCUUCUUCUUCUUCUUCUUCUUCUUCUUCUUCUUCUUCUUCUUCUUUUCUUCUUCUCCUCCUCCUC
rnacentral:lncRNA from 1 species